UGCCAGCAGCCGCGGUAAUACGAAAGGGGCUAGCGUUGUUCGGAAUUACUGGGCAUAAAGCGCGCGUAGGCGGCAUAGCAAGUUGGAGGUGAAAUCCCAGGGCUCAACUCUGGAACUGCCUUCAAAACUGCUAAGCUAGAGUGCGGAAGAGGAGAGUGGAAUUCCUAGUGUAGAGGUGAAAUUCGUAGAUAUUAGGAAGAACACCGGUGGCGAAGGCGACUCUCUGGUCCGAUAUUGACGCUGAGGCGCGAAGGCGUGGGUAGCGAACGGGAUUAGAUA
rnacentral:rRNA from 1 species